GCAUAUCAUUCUACGACAGUUUACACUUUACAUGCAACAAAAAAUCAACCUAAUAAAUUACUAAGAGAAUAUCAACUCAAAACAUGUCUUCCCCCUUCUAACAGACAAUAUGAAACCAACUCAAAGCAAAAACAUGUCUUACCCUACUUGAUAUUACACCAGCAGCAAAAAUAAGCAAAUCUGGAAACACUUUUCAGUGUUUCCACAACAAACAUGUCUGAUUACAAGAAAGGUAGCCAUAUGUCAAUGAUAUAUUGAUAAAAAAGUUCAUA
rnacentral:lncRNA from 1 species